UCGAAGUGGUUAAAACAGCAAGGAAGUUUCAACCGAUUGCGCGAUUCCAUGAGAAAAUCCAUGUUCUAUGCCAGUGGAACGAUUUCCGAUACCGGCAGCGGGACGACGAAUCGACAAUCGGAUUUUCUCGCGAUCUUUUGACACUUAUUAUUCUGGCCAGUGAUGUGAAGUAAAACAGUUCCCAGCCCAAAAUGUGCUCCUUCCUGUCCGAACUCACAACGGUGCACUCACUCACUUACUAAAGUAAAGGCAUAACGGCGACUCCUAGCUGAAGGCGCGCCCCGCGCACGAACAUGCUGCAUUAUGCGCUGCGGGUGCACCAUCCGGGUGUCGCUUCGGUGCGCCCAACGACAUAAAGGCCCCCUCUCCUUUGAACCGUGCGGCCGAGGUACGAGCUGGUGGUCACUUUGCGUUCCGCGGUGUGUUUACACAAAAUUAGACUCUUAUCUCUCGACGACGCACUCUGGCCACUACUACUACACACUCUGGCGUACACGGGCCCGAGAAGCUACCGGGUAGCACCUAAAGGGAGUUUGCAUCGAUACGGGUACGGCGGUAGGAGAAAAAAAAGGACGCACCACUCGAGACGACGCACGGCGAGAAUGUGUCCGUCAAAAGCGGCUGAAGAGGUCUGUCUGCCAGAAACGGAACGAACGUACUGCUGCCAUUCGGUGCGAUACAGCUUCCUUCAUCCCUACUACAGCGGUUCCAACUGCACGCGUCACGGUGAGCGCUACGCUGCGUGUCUCAUCGUGGUGAGAAGCGGUGAGAAAUGUAGGCGGAGCUAGAAUGCGAUUGUGGCCGUGUUGCGAUUGUGUAAGCGCGCUGUCGGUGCGGUACGGGCAAACGGGCGAAGCGGACGGUGGCAGCAGCACGCCCACUUUACAAUCACCAUUUUUUUACCGUUCGCCAUCAUCACCAUCUGAUUGGUUCUCGAGUGCUCUUGAAAGGCGUGUCUUUCAUCGGAAAAUUGUUAUUGUGUUUUUUUACAUCCUUUCUUUUCCGCGGGCAAGUGGUCGUGUGGGGAAGUAAGGGGGCGAAGGAAUGGUAUUUUUUUGUGCUGUAUUGCCCGCUAUUUGCUAUUAUAGUUUAUAUUAUUCGCUCUUUACAGUCGCGCUCUUUGUCAUCGU